CCUACGGGAGGCUGCAGUCGAGAAUCAUUCACAAUGGGGGAAACCCUGAUGGUGCGACGCCGCGUGGGGGAAUGAAGGUCUUCGGAUUGUAAACCCCUGUCAUGUGGGAGCAAAUUAAAAAGAUAGUACCACAAGAGGAAGAGACGGCUAACUCUGUGCCAGCAGCCGCGGUAAUACAGAGGUCUCAAGCGUUGUUCGGAAUCACGGGGCGUAAAGCGUGCGUAGGCUGUUACGUAGGUCGUGUGUGAAAGGCGAGGGCUCAACCCGCGGACGGCACAUGAUACUGCGAGACUAGAGUAAUGGAGGGGGAACCGGAAUUCUCGGUGUAGCAGUGAAAUGCGUAGAUAUCGAGAGGAACACUCGUGGCGAAGGCGGGUUCCUGGACAUUAACUGACGCUGAGGCACGAAGGCCAGGGGAGCGAAAGGGAUUAGAUACCCCGGUAGUC
rnacentral:rRNA from 1 species